rnacentral:lncRNA from 1 species
GUUCAUCCAAUCAAAUUCUUGGUUAUGGUUAUAUGUAAGCAAUAGUACUGCUGACUUGAAAUAUUCAUUAUAUAAAUUCAUCUGAGCUAAGCACAUUCAUAGACAUCGAAAUGUAGGAUUCAUAAAAUCUCAAAUAAUUUCUAAAGAUUGGAAACUAAACAAGAGAAAGAGAAAAUAUAAAAAUUAAAAAACACUCGAAAAAAUACAUUCUCUCAUUUAUCACAGUAUCAUAAAUCUUCUUGAGGCAGGUUGCCAUAACCUUCGAUUGAGUACCGGCUCCUGUACUAUGAAACUUAGCGAAGAAUCCCAGACCUUUGAACCCAAAACCUUCUUCAACUCAGAACACCAAAGCACCAUAACCACACUCUGCCAUUUGAAUCACCUGCUCAAACCCCAUCUCCAUCAACCACCAGCCUCAUCUGCUGGUGAUUUAUAAUUGUAGCCUAGAUCAAGGAUGUAGAUACAUAAUAUAUAGCAUGUCCUAUAUCACGAAAUAAUGAAGAAUUAUAGAUAAAGUAUGUGCGUACCUUCUCUCAUCAACCAAAACACAACACAAUCCGGCCAAGCCCAUGUCACUGCUACUCACCCUGCAACCAGAGCCACCACGCUAGAGAACCAAACCCCAAGUACCAUUCUCUUCGUUGUAACCCUGACGGAUGAAACGGAACUACCCGAAGACUUCCAACUCAAUUGUGAAAAAGGAUUUGGUGACUACUAACAUAUCCUUGAUAUUAAUCAGGACUCCGGAAUUUUUUAAAAUUAAGGCCAUAGAAAUAUUGGAUUUGGGUGGCGCUUUUCCAAAGAAUUAUACCAAUGUAACAUUGGACUUAGUUUUUUUCAGCUAUACCCCAAUGAUGAA